UACGUAGGGCGCGAGCGUUGUCCGGAAUCAUUGGGCGUAAAGAGCUCGUAGGCGGCCUGUCGCGUCUGCUGUGAAAUCCCGGGGCUUAACCCCGGGCGUGCAGUGGAUACGGGCUGGCUGGAGGCAGGCAGGGGAGAACGGAAUUCCCGGUGUAGCGGUGAAAUGCGCAGAUAUCGGGAGGAACACCUGUGGCGAAAGCGGCGCACUGGACCAUAACUGACGCUGAGGCGCGAAAGCUAGGGGAGCAAACAGG
rnacentral:rRNA from 1 species